UGUAUUCGCUGCUUCAUAACGGUCACCAUACCACCCGCUGCCGCAAUUAGUUCCGGCUUUAGCGUUCUCAAUCAACGAUCAGCCGUGGCUCGAGCCGUCGUCAUCGUCGCACCCUACCCUUGUACUGCUCGUCAUCGCUACCUUGCCGCCACCGCUGCCAUUGAGGUUGCGUUCGACUUUUCUUUUUUGCUUCGAUGUGACCCAGCCCAGAAUUGGCCGGCCCUUGCCAUGCAUGUUAAAGCACCCCCAUUAGAUUUGCUCUGCGCUUUUCGAUUUGUUGAGGUUCUAUUAUGUAAUGAUUGUUGACGCAUGCUACACAUAGGAUGGACUCGGGCCUUAGUGACUUUAAAACUUGAAAGAUAAUUUCUUAUAUUUAUUUGAUUUAUAUCAAAACGAUGUAACACAUUAAUUCAAUAAAACAAAACUUUAAAUACCAUGUGUCGUGAAACAAUUUCCUGUAACAUGAAUCCCGAUGUUUCUACCGCGAUUUGUUGUAUUACGCGAUUGGGGUGUUACAUAAUUUGCAGAAGUUUUAUGAUUCAGUUAAAGACAACUACAAGGACAUUAACCUUA
rnacentral:lncRNA from 1 species